CCCUUAGAUGUUCUGGGCUGCACGCGUGCUACACUGAUUACUUCAACAAGUGUUUUAACUGGAGAGUUCGCGUAAUCCUGAAAUGUUAUCGUGAUGGGAGUAGAGUAUUGUAUUUGUUAAUCUUUAACGAGGAAUUCCUAGUAAGUGUAGGUUUAUAAGUUGUUCUGAUUACGUCCCUGCCCUUUGUACACACCGCCCGUCGCUCCUACCGAUUGAGUGGUCCGGUGAGGCUUUGGGAUCUGAGCGGAAAGAGCGUUUCGCUGUUUCUGCUCGGAAAACUCAGUCGAACCUUAUCAUUUAGAGGAAGGAGAAGUCGUAACA
rnacentral:rRNA from 1 species